rnacentral:ncRNA from 1 species
CUCCUUAGAGCUGUGGUUGAAAGUCGAAGCCAGUCGCAGGCGAAACGACCCACGUAAGGUAACUUUGGUUACUGAGCAUGGUGCGGCUUUGGAGUAAGUCCUGCCUUAACCCUAAUAGGUUAUAACAAUAAGAGAAGAGUAGUAGUGAAGGACAAAGUUCCCGAGCAAACCUCUCAGCAGGCGAGUGUGGGGGCAAAGACCAGGUCAGUCUAAGGAA